ensembl:lncRNA
GUCCUGUUUAGCAAGCUCCAGUGUCACGUUUCAGGAUGACAGGUAAACACAGGUAAGAUAAGGCCUCUUGUGAGACCUGAAGAGCCAGAUGGAAUGUAUGCCCAGAGAAAUUCCCGGUGUCAAGAUUGAGCCACAGGAUGAAUCACCUUCUUCCCAGCCCUACCUGCAGCUGUGUGAGCCCCUCACACCAUAGCCAUCCCAGCCUGGGGAAGAUGGAGGAAGACAGGACAGCCUUGUCCUGACCCCCAAGGGGCCCAGCAAUGCCGCCCUCCACGCUCUGGCUGUAUCUGCAUCACCUCCUUUCUGGUCCUGGAGUGAUUCAGGUUCCUGAACGCACCCGAGAGGAUCCAGCCGGAAAGCCACCCCCGCUUAGCGACAGCGAGGCGAGUGUCAAACAGUCCCCGGGCAGCCGAGACUCUCUCAGGAGCGUCCAGCUCUCACCGUGGAGCCCAAGGGCUCCAGCCCGGAGCCAGCCGGGUUGGCCGGGCCACGGUGAUUCCGCAGUUCCCUCGGUCUGGACCCCUCCGGGCCGGGCCUGCGCGCUCCGGCGACUCCAGGCCCAGACCCACGCGGAGCCCGACCGAAGGUUAGCCCUGGUGCCUCCCGGCCUAGAGUAGCACCCAGCAAACGUCCAGAGCGAGCGGGACUGCCGAGACCCCGCGGCGAGACUUGCUCGCCUGCCUUGGCAGGACAAGCCCAGUGGGGCCGGCGGAGGAGAUUCCAGAAAAACCCGGGGAGAAAAAUCGCCGUGCAGCAAGGGCGGUGGGCGGCCAGAUGCUCCGGGCCAAGCCCCGCACGAACGUAGAGCGCGUGUCUGGACGGAGGGGGCCGUGAGCCCCGGGCGCCGCGAGCCUCCUGAGCCGGCCUCCGUUUCCCCCGGUGGAGACACGGACCACAGGGCCCCGGCCUGGAGUGUCGGAGGAAGCGAAUUACAUGCGUGUGCGCACAUGUCAAUAUUUUAUAAACCUCCCCUUAAUUAACCAGAUCAUUUCCAUUAUGCCUCCAACCCCAUCCACCGCAACGGUGUGAGGGUUUGCAGGCUUUAUAAUUCGAUGCCACCAGACGGUUGCUCGGGGGCAGAGGUGUGAUCGCCCGCGCCAGCUGCGCUUGUAUUUAUUUGUUUUUCUCCCGUGUUCCUGUAGGGCGCCAUUAUGCAGUUUUUAAUUAGUUUGUGUUUGUAGUUCACCCGUCCCAAAUCAAUGCCAUCCCGGAGCACGGCGAUGUAAAUUCUCGAAGUACAGGUGUAGCUGCCUGCUCGGGAACACGGGGAAGCGCGUGUCUGACAAAUGAAAGCCGGGCGGACUGUCAGCUCUCGGCAGCCAAGAGGCGCAGAUCAAAGCCAUCGGGGACUCCUGCGCCCUCGGAGCGCCUCAGUGGCGGCGGCUCCUAAUGCUAUUAGAGGGAGAGUCGGGUGCAGCUCGGCGUGGGGGACAAAGUGACUUUUCAUUUUGCUGGAAUCCUGGGUUCCCUGGGCCAGCGCUGGCCUCCCGCGCGCUCUGGCCUUGGGGCCUGGUGGGCGCUGGGCACCCUGCAUCAGGCUCCCGCCCCGGAUGCCCGGCUGGCUGUGGGCGCGCGUGCACGGACCCAGUGCUGGAGAAAGGUCAUUGCCACUUCCAGCGGGGUUCCGCAGCCCUUUCAUAGAACCCACGGCCAACAGCCGGGACUUUGGGAAUCUCCAGACUGGAGAACCCCCCUCACCCCCACUCCCAGGUCCCGCUCAUUUCUCUUCUUGAAAUGACCUCUGUGCAAUGAGUGUAAAUUAUUCUUCCCAGCCACCAGGGAAUUCUUUUAAAGAUUUUUUUUUUUUUUUUUUUGGAUCGGGAAUAAGAGAUUGUUCAUCUUUAACUAGACCACAUAGAAAUUAUGAUUCAACAGCAGUGUGUAUUUAAUUAGAGUAAUCUCACUUGAAUUUAAUUACCUAAUGAAUUAUUUGUUUAAAAGGUAGAACGUCUUGUUUGCCAAGUGUGGUGCAGACCUCUGAUAAGAACUUGUGUUAUAAGGACAUUACAGUAUAAAGCAGCCAUGUAGUAAGGUUUGGUUUUAACUCUUUGCGUGUGUAAUGGUUACUGUAGCACUCAACACACACACUAAGAUCAUGUCCGGAAGGCUGAGGGGAGGGCAGAAGCUCCCAUUAGCCAAACAGAGGCUUAGUUCUGUUGUGCAGGCAGGGCCCCUUCGAAAUUAAUAUCUUCCAACCCCUUUCCUCAUACACAUCUAUUUUUAAAUGUAUUUUUCAAUAGUUUUGUGUGUGUGUGCCAGAUGACAGCUGCCUAUUAUGACUCAUUUUAUGAUUCAUAUUUGCAAUGAAGUGGUACAUCUCCUUCAGGAAAACUCCAGCCUAGCUUCUCUGGGUGCCUGAACCUCCAUACUAGUGACAGAAAGGCUUUCUGAGGUCAUUGAACAUUAGAGGAAGGGAAGCUACAAUGCCCCAGACUGUGAUCUUAACCCCUAGUGCCUAAAUAAUGGAAGGAUUUCAUCCCCUCUCAUUUUGUAAGAGCAAAUGACUCCAAACCGUGCCACCCUUUCCAGUGGGCUCUGAAGGGGAUGUGUCUCCAGCUAAACAUACAUGAAAUCCACCUGGUUGAAUUCCACUGUUAUUUUCAUUCAUAGGUCAUUAACCAGAUAUUUAAUUGUAGAUUUGGGCACUAUUAUCACAUAAAUAUUAAGUAUUAAUAAUAUAGUGUUCAACUAAGUAGGAAUAGGCUUAUGAGAAAAAAUAAAAAACUUUGAUAAGAAUUAUUAACUUUUUUAGAGUCUCUUAUUUUUAUCACAGCUGUGCAUUUUAAAACCGAUGCUUUAGCAACUGAUAGUGGUUAUUAAUAAAUUAUAAACUUAAUCAUGUUAAGUUAUGGUUAUAGUCGCAUCUUUCUUCCUAAGAAAUAGAUCUACAU